UAUCCCUCUGAUGAAACCUAUGUUGGUAGGGACAUCUGAGAGAGUCAAUGAUUGCCAACCACUCUGAUGGUGGAAA